rnacentral:rRNA from 1 species
GACGAACGCUGGCGGCGUGCCUAAUACAUGCAAGUUGAGCGCUGAAGGUUGGUACUUGUACCGACUGGAUGAGCAGCGAACGGGUGAGUAACGCGUGGGUAACCUGCCUUUGAGCGGGGGACAACAUUUGGAAACGAAUGCUAAUACCGCAUAAAAACUUUAAACACAAGGUUUAAGUUUGAAAGAUGCAAUUGCAUCACUCAAAGAUGAUCCCGCGUUGUAUUAGCUAGUUGGUGAGGUAAAGGCCCACCAAGGCGAUGAUACAUAGCCGACCUGAGAGGGUGGUCGGCCACAUUGGGACUGGGACACCGCCCAAACUCCUACGGGAGGCAGCAGUAGGGAAUCUUCGGCAAUGGACGAAAGUCUGACCGGGCAACGCCGCGUGAGUGGAGGAGGUUUUCGGAUCGUAAAACUCUGUUGGUAGAGAAGAACGUUAGUGAGAGUGGAAAGCUCAUCAAGUGACGGUAACUACCCAGAAAGGGACGGCUAACUACGUG